rnacentral:rRNA from 1 species
UACAGAGGUCUCAAGCGUUGUUCGGAUUCAUUGGGCGUAAAGGGUGCGUAGGCGGCGCGGUAAGUCGGGUGUGAAAUCUUGGAGCUUAACUCCGAAACUGCAUUCGAUACUGCCGUGCUUGAGGACUGGAGAGGAGACUGGAAUUUACGGUGUAGCGGUGAAAUGCGUAGAGAUCAAGAGGAACACUCGUGGCGAAAGCGAGCUACUGGACAAUUCCUGACGCUGAGGCUCGAAGGCUAGGGUAGCGAAAGGG